AUUGAACGCUGGCGGCAUGCCUUACACAUGCAAGUCGAACGGCAGCACGGGAGCAAUCCUGGUGGCGAGUGGCGAACGGGUGAGUAAUAUAUCGGAACGUGCCCGGUCGUGGGGAUAACGUAGCGAAAGCUACGCUAAUACCGCAUACGAUCUACGGAUGAAAGCGGGGGAUCGCAAGACCUCGCGCGAUUGGAGCGGCCGAUAUCAGAUUAGGUAGUUGGUGAGGUAAAGGCUCACCAAGCCGACGAUCUGUAGCUGGUCUGAGAGGACGACCAGCCACACUGGGACUGAGACACGGCCCAGACUCCUACGGGAGGCAGCAGUGGGGAAUUUUGGGACAAUGGGCGCAAGCCUGAUCCAGCCAUUCCGCGUGAGUGAAGAAGGCCUCGG
rnacentral:rRNA from 1 species